GAUGAACGCUGGCGGCGUGCCUAAUACGUGCAAGUCGAGCGAACAGAUGAGGAGCUUGCUCCUCUGACGUUAGCGGCGGACGGGUGAGUAACACGUGGAUAACCUACCUAUAAGACUGGGAUAACUUCGGGAAACCGGAGCUAAUACCGGAUAAUAUAUUGAACCGCAUGGUUCAAUAGUGAAAGACGGUUUUGCUGUCACUUAUAGAUGGAUCCGCGCCGCAUUAGCUAGUUGGUAAGGUAACGGCUUACCAAGGCAACGAUGCGUAGCCGACCUGAGAGGGUGAUCGGCCACACUGGAACUGAGACACGGUCCAGACUCCUACGGGAGGCAGCAGUAGGGAAUCUUCCGCAAUGGGCGAAAGCCUGACGGAGCAACGCCGCGUGAGUGAUGAAGGUCUUCGGAUCGUAAAACUCUGUUAUUAGGGAAGAACAAAUGUGUAAGUAACUAUGCACGUCUUGACGGUACCUAAUCAGAAAGCCACGGCUGACUACGUG
rnacentral:rRNA from 1 species